rnacentral:rRNA from 1 species
UGCGUAGGCGGGAUAUUAAGUCAGUGGUGAAAGCCCACAGCUCAACUGUGGAACUGCCAUUGAUACUGGUAUUCUUGAGUAUGGAUGAGGUAAGCGGAAUUUAUGGUGUAGCGGUGAAAUGCAUAGAUACCAUAAAGAACACCGAUAGCGAAGGCAGCUUACCGGGCCAUAACUGACGCUGAGGCACGAAAGCGUGGGGAGCGAACAGGAUUAGAUACCCUGGUAGUCC